GACGAACCGAGCGAACGUUGUUCGGAAUCACUGGGCUUAAAGGGCGCGUAGGCGGGCUGCCAAGUCUGGGGUGAAAUCCUUCGGCUCAACCGGAGAAGUGCCCCCGAUACUGCUGGUCUGGAGGGAGGUAGGGGUGGUGUGGAACUGCGAGUGUAGAGGUGAAAUUCGUAGAUAUUCGCAAGAACACCAGUGGCGAAGGCGGCUCACUGGCCCGAUACUGACGCUGAGGCACGAAAGCGUGGGGAGCAAACAGG
rnacentral:rRNA from 1 species